rnacentral:rRNA from 1 species
AGAGUUUGAUUCUGGCUCAGAUUGAACGCUGGCGGCGUGCCUAACACAUGCAAGUCGAGCGGUAACAGGUGUAGCAAUACAUGCUGACGAGCGGCGGACGGGUGAGUAACGCUUGGGAAUCUGCCUGAUAGUGGGGGACAACCCGGGGAAACUCGGGCUAAUACCGCAUACGCACUACGGUGGAAAGCCGGGGACCGCAAGGCCUGGCGCUAACAGAUGAGCCCAAGUCGGAUUAGCUAGUUGGUAGGGUAACGGCCUACCAAGGCGACGAUCCGUAACUGGUCUGAGAGGACGACCAGUCACACCGGAACUGAGACACGGUCCGGACUCCUACGGGAGGCAGCAGUGGGGAAUAUUGGACAAUGGGCGAAAGCCUGAUCCAGCGACGCCGCGUGGGUGAAGAAGGCCUGCGGGUUGUAAAGCCCUUUCGGUGGGGAAGAAAAGCCUCGGGCUAAUACCUCGGGGUCUUGACGUAACCCAUAGAAGAAGCACCGGCUAACUCUGUGCCAGCAGCCGCGGUAAUACAGAGGGUGCGAGCGUUAAUCGGAAUUACUGGGCGUAAAGCGCGCGUAGGCGGCUUUGCAAGUCGGGUGUGAAAUCCCCAGGCUUAACCUGGGAACUGCAUUCGAGACUGCAUUGCUAGAGUAUGGGAGAGGGAAGUGGAAUUUCCGGUGUAGCGGUGAAAUGCGUAGAUAUCGGAAGGAACAUCAGUGGCGAAAGCGACUUCCUGGACCAAUACUGACGCUCAUGUGCGAAAGCGUGGGGAGCAAACAGGAUUAGAUACCCUGGUAGUCCACGCCAUAAACGAUGAGAACUGGAUGUCGGGAGGGUCUGCCUCUCGGUGUCGUAGCUAACGCGUUAAGUUCUCCGCCUGGGGAGUACGGCCGCAAGGUUGAAACUCAAAUGAAUUGACGGGG